rnacentral:rRNA from 1 species
CAGCCGCCGCGGGAAUACAGAGGGUGCAAGCGUUAGUCGGAAUUACUGGGCGUAAAGCGCGCGUAGGUGGUUCGCCAAGUUGGAUGUGAAAUCCCCGGGCUCAACCUGGGAACUGCAUCCAAAACUGGCGAGCUAGAGUAUGGUAGAGGGUGGUGGAAUUUCCUGUGUAGCGGUGAAAUGCGUAGAUAUAGGAAGGAACAUCAGUGGCGAAGGCGACCACCUGGACUGAUACUGACACUGAGGUGCGAAAGCGUGGGGAGCAAACAGGAUUAGAUACCCGAGUAGUCCCUGUCUCUUAUAC